rnacentral:rRNA from 1 species
GACGAACGCUGGCGGCGUGCUUAACACAUGCAAGUCGAACGGAAAGGCCUGCUUUCCCUUGUGGAUUGCGGGUACUCGAGUGGCGAACGGGUGAGUAACACGUGAGUGAUCUGCCCCCAACUUGGGUAUAGGCCUGGGAAACUGGGUCUAAUUCCCGAUAGGACUGCAGGGUGGUGCCUGUGGUGGAAAACGAUUUUCUAGUGGUUGGGGAUGAGCUCGCGGCCUAUCAGCUUGUUGGUGGGGUAAUGGCCUACCAAGGCGGCGACGGGUAGCCGGCCUGGGAGGGUGGACGGCCACAUUGGGACUGAGAUACGGCCCAGACGCCUACGGGAGGCAGCAGUGGGGAAUAUUGCACAAUGGGCGGAAGCCUGAUGCAGCGACGCCGCGUGGGGGAUGACGGCCUUCGGGUUGUAAACUCCUUUCGACCGCGAGGAAGCCACCUGGUUGGAAGGGUGGUGACGGUAGUGGUAGAAGAAGCACCGGCUAACUACGUG